AGCCCCGGCACCUAUAGGGUACGUCUCCAAACUUGCAUUUUGG
rnacentral:tRNA from 1 species